rnacentral:rRNA from 1 species
CCUACGGGUGGCAGCAGUGAGGAAUAUUGGUCAAUGGACGAGAGUCUGAACCAGCCAAGUAGCGUGAAGGAUGACUGCCCUAUGGGUUGUAAACUUCUUUUAUAUGGGAAUAAGACAGGGUAUGCAUACUGUCUUGUAUGUACCAUAUGAAUAAGGAUCGGCUAACUCCGUGCCAGCAGCCGCGGUAAUACGGAGGAUCCGAGCGUUAUCCGGAUUUAUUGGGUUUAAGGGGAGCGUAGGUGGAUUGUUAAGUCAGUGGUAAAAAUUCGGGGCUCAACCCCGUCGUGCCGUUGAAACUGAUGUGCUUGAGUGGGCGAGAAGUAGGCGGAAUGCGUGGUGUAGCGGUGAAAUGCAUAGAUAUCACGCAGAACUCCGAUUGCGAAGGCAGCAUACCGGCGCCCAACUGACGCUGAAGCACGAAAGCGUGGGUAUCGAACAGGAUUAGAUACCCGGGUAGUC